GUACGGGAGGCAGCAGUAAGGAAUAUUGGUCAAUAGAGGCAACUCUGAACCAGCCAUGCCGCGUGCAGGAAGACUGCCUUAUGGGUUGUAAACUGCUUUUAUACGGGAAUAAACCUUGAUUCGUGAAUCAAGCUGAAUGUACCGUAAGAAUAAGGAUCGGCUAACUCCGUGCCAGCAGCCGCGGUAAUACGGAGGAUCCAAGCGUUAUCCGGAUUUAUUGGGUUUAAAGGGAGCGUAGGCGGCCUAUUAAGUCAGGGGUGAAAGACGGCAGCUUAACUGUCGCAGUGCCUUUGAUACUGAUAGGCUUGAAUGUAGUUGAGGUAGGCGGAAUGUGACAAGUAGCGGUGAAAUGCAUAGAUAUGUCACAGAACACCGAUUGCGAAGGCAGCUUACUAAGCUAUAAUUGACGCUGAGGCUCGAAAGCGUGGGGAUCAAACAGGAUUAGAUACCCUUGUAU
rnacentral:rRNA from 1 species